CGAGACAGAUUGCUAAUACCGGAUAACAACAGAUGAUGCCUAUCAACUGUUUAAAAGAUGGUUCUGCUAUCACUCUUGGAUGGACCUGCGGUGCAUUAGCUAGUUGGUAGGGUAACGGCCUACCAAGGCGAUGAUGCAUAGCCGAGUUGAGAGACUGAUCGGCCACAUUGGGACUGAGACACGGCCCAAACUCCUACGGGAGGCAGCAGU
rnacentral:rRNA from 1 species